CAUCGAUGGAUGCCCUCUACUGGAGAUCAAGGCCACACAUUGGGCAUGUGCCCUGACAGGGAAUCGAACUGUGACCUCCUGGUUCAUAGGUCAAUGCUCAACCACUGAGCCACAUUGGCCAAGCCACACAGAUUUGAUUUUUCAAGCUUUUAUAACUUCUAAGGUAAAAUUAUCUCUUGAGGAAAACAAAGGUGCAAAUCUUAAGUUGUUGCUUAAGAUACUAAGAUUCAUGCUCUAGAGUUCAUGUUCUCAUAACUUGGCCCAUGAAUAGUUGCAACCUUGGAGUAAAUGCACAGACAGUGACUUCUGUUAAAACAUGUUCCCUUUUUGUAUGAUGUGGGAAAUAACAAUGUAUUACGUGUAUAAACAUGCACUAUGCACUUGUAUUUGAAUAAAAAGCACUGGCUAGAUUAAUGUGAA